UUAAAGAAUGAUGGUUUUUAUAGAAGUUUUUGCGGUGCAUCCAUAAUAGGAGAAAAGAAGAUUCUUACUGCCGCACAUUGCUUUUUGGGAAAUAAACGGAUUUCUGUUGUUUUAAUGACAGGAACGAUUGAUAAAGGUAGCUUAAGCGAUAUUUACGCAGUAGCUGGUAAUCUAAUGAAUGAAGGUAAAUACAGCUUGGACAAUGAUUUCGGCCAGUGGAGAAGUUUGUCAAGCGUCAGAUACUCCAAACAUUAUAAAAGGCCUAAACAUGAUAUAGCAGUUGCUGGUACGGCAAAACAGGGCGAGACAAAAAGAUUUCAAGUGAAAUUCUUUUAAAAGGCUAUUUGGAAAUAAUGACUUCGUUCGACUGCAGUGAACUGUACCACUACAACAUGGAAACGUUUAUAUGUACUGCUGAAGAGUUCUCAGACACCGGAAGGGGUGAUUCUGGUGGACCUCUAGUAUGCACUAACACGAGUGAUCCGAACGAAAGGGACAUUGGAGUAUUAGUUGGCAUUGCAAGGUCUCACAGUCCAAACCGAUCCUCUUUAUUUGUCAGAGUCUCUAAAUACUACAACUUCAUAACUAAAGAAACGACUGCAGUUGUUGGGUACAACAAAUACGGGUAUCCAUAUUCUAGUUGUAUUGCUCACAAACUUUACUUCUAUUUGCUUGUUUUGCUACUAUUUCUUAUCAUUGAAAUAUGAGUGUUAAUUUAUCAGAUACAAUUAGUUUUUUUUUC